GAUAUAUCUAAAAUCUUAUACACUUAAUAUCUUAGAGAAAAUAUUAUUCAAUUGGUUCUUGAGCUUCAAGAAAUUUACAUAAAUGGUUUAGUUACGACAAUUCCUCUAAAACGGGGAAGCGAUGGCCUCUGAAACUGGUUCUCACUUUUCUAAAUUAUUGGCCAUUGGGCAUCCAGUGGUAGGUUAAGCUUGUGAUAAAAGGAAUGCCCUCCCCUCGAGAAGUAUAGUUAUGUUGGAGCGGUGGCCAAACUUCCCAGAUGCGUGAUUAGCACCGAUCGCCACCUCGCGUCGGAAUUCAGCUACAAUUUGGAGUCCUUGUUGUCUUGUUUGAUUUAUUGUUGGUGAAUGUUGUGUUGUUUGAUUUGUUGUUUGUGAAUGUUGUGUUGUUUGAUUUGUUGUUUGUGAAUGUUGUGUUGUUUGAUUUGCUGCUCUUGAACAUCUUCCAUUUCUUACAUUUUCUGUGGCAGAGGAAUCAUCGCUUUCUUUAUAGGAGAGCAUUGAUCAUUCACUUGAUACGACAAAAGCUCAAAAGAAUACGAGACAACUUCGUUUAAUUCCGUUUGUACUUUGACAAAUGAUGGUUCUAAUGGAUGAGCGAGUUGAGAUCCUCUGGAGGAGACAAGGGAUGCAGUGAUUGGUGGCGUUUGGAAGCGAAAGAUGGUACUUUCCUGAACGAAGGUCGCUUUUUUAUACGUUCCAGAGUUUGCCUGGCGUAGAUGCUAUAAAGAAAAGGUGCUGCUCUCUCCUUGAAUUUCAGAAUGAAAAAGAAAAGAACUCUAAGCGAUAUGAGGAGGAUCAUGAUUGCAGCUAUGUCCCACCACUUUGAAUUAUCAAUAUGAAUGCCAAGCAUGGUUUUGAGGAUGAAUUCUCCUUUCAGUUUCGGGUCACCAGGUUCUAAGGGAUCAAACUCCAUUCCAAUCAAGUCAUUCUUGAAAGCUCCCUGCGUUCCCAUAAUCAGUAAAAGUAAGGCUAAAUUUCAGUCCCAGAUAAUUCAGCUCAUAUAUUAUAUAUCCUUUUGAUCAUGCCCUUUUGAAGGUAAUGCCUCUAAUUUUACCUGUAAUCCCCAUGCGCCAUAAUUGAUGUAUGAUAUUGGGUAACGCCAGAAGAUUUUGGGAAGAUCAGGGAGUGGACGGAAAAAGCCAGAAGUCAUCAUCAUAAGACCCUGCAAACACAUACGCACUAAAAUCAGCAACAACGAUUAUUCAACUGAAAAUGGGGUUAUAUUAUAUGUAGUAUAUAGUUUUCUUACAAUAUAUCCUGCUCCAAUUGUCAAUCCCAUGAGGAAGUUGGGAACCAGUGAAGCUAUAACCAUCAUGGAGCUCUCCACAACCGCAAUGCAGCCCAUAAGAUCAAGAGUGAUAUACAAAAAGUGUGAAAAUUCUGAACGAGACUUAACCAUAUAAUAGCUUAUAGCCCCUGUAGCAGUGGACAUCACUGCCAAAAACGGAAAGGAAGAGAGAAAAUUUGAGAGAAUGUAGACUCCAACGCCAUAAUAACCACCCAUUCUUUCUUUGUAGAAGACCUGAAUCCAGAGGGUAAAAGGUAAGAGAACUAAAUGCAUAUGUUUUUAACGUUUUAAUUUUGUAUCAGAUUAACUUUUUAUACCUUCAUUUCUUCUAAGAAAGAAGGGAAGCUCCCAAUGGACAUGAAGGUCAUGAAACCUGAGAUAAAACCGGCACAUGAUCCUCUGGCAAAAAUGGCUCUGUAACUCGUUCCGACAUCAUGGAAGAUUGUUCCAACGCACAAAGAUAAGGCGACAUAGGUAGUUAUCCUUAUCCAGUAGUAUCCCAAAUCUCUGGACAUGUUCAGGCAAGAUCUCUGAGUCAGCAUUGAUAGUUCCUUCCACCAUGUGGCUUCGCAUUUCCUUUUACUUUCAAAAUCAUGUCCUUCCUGUAACAUGAUUAAUUCCUUGGCCUUUACAUCCCACAAAACAUGUUUCCAAUUGUUGCAAAAUGGAGUAUUAAUAGUUCAGUGAACCAUUAUAUAUUGAUCAUUUUCCUAUGCAUAUGUCUUUAAAUUCAAGUACAUGUGUUUUCUGACAGUCAUGAUCUCUUCUUCGAAGGGAUUUCUAAUAUUAUUGCAUUUUCACAUGAAGCCAAAAACUAGCUAAGAAAUAAAUGAAUAAAAGAAAGGUUCUUAGAGUGUGAAAGGUUCACCUUUCUCUAUUUAUCUCCCUUUUCUUUAUGGCACAAGAUGAGUCCAUCAUUGUUAUACUAUUUUUUUCACAGCUUAUCUAGCUGGAUAAUAACAGUUUCAGCUCAGGCAAAGAAUAUUAUUAAUUACAUGAAGUUCUAUGUUCUGUAAACAAUAGUUAGUAAUAACAUUUUGAGUUAAGGGCUUCUUACUAUGUUUGAUAUUUCCUUGAUUCUUUCUCUUGCAGUGGUUGCAUACUCAGACCAUCGGUAUUUUUCUAUGAGUGUUGCUUUGAUUGCUGCAGUUGAUAAUGAUACUUCUUCCUGUAUCAAAGGAAUAAGGAAGACAGUGAGAAAGAAGCAAAUCUGAUAGGAAGAGAUUCCAAGGAAGGAAGAAAAAGAUGUAAUUUAUAAUCAGGUUAAAUGAGUAAAUAACAUCUAGGGUAAAAGAUUUGCUAGUAGAAGUUGAUGACUUUUAUAAUAAGUAUUUUAAAAAUCAUAUUAAAAAGGUUGAUGACUUAUAGAAAUGGUUAUAUAUACUUGUCUCGUUUGGGAGGCCGUGAUUGUGGCUGUGACAGCGUCGAAGUCUGAGUUGAUACAACGAAGGAAAUGAUCGGAAGGGUUUCUUCUACUUGGACAUGGGAAUCCAGCUUUAGCAAAGAACUGCAUGCACAAAUACAAUGUCCAAAGUAGAUUGUUUGACCCCCAGAGAGAAGAAAGAGAUUAUCAAAGAGUGCAAAAACCUCACUACUUGGUUGGUGUAUAGAGGAGAUAACAGUUUUUGCAUCAUGAGCCAAAUUUCUGAGAGUUUGAGCAACAAAAUAUGCAGAGGCACUGUCGAGACCAGUGGUGGGUUCAUCAAGGAACAAGAGAGUUGGCCUUGUGAGGAUUUCAAGAGCAAUGCUUAGUCUUCUCUUCUCUCCACCGCUUAUACCUCUCAAAUGCCAAUUCCCUAUUAUCCGAUCUGCACAUUCUUGAAGACCCAUUUCCAUAAUUGUUCCUUCUAUUAUCUCAUUCACCUCUUCUUUCCUCAUGCUCCCUGGAAGCCUUAGAUUCGCUGAGUAAUAUAUCGUCUCUCUCACUGUCAGAGUUCCCAGCAUUGUGUCUUCUUGGGUCACAUAAGCCUAUGAAGAGCUAGAAGGUUGGAGCUAUAGAGAGGCAAUUGGAGGUGUUCCUAGUCUUCUAGCUAUGUAGAAUGUCAACAAUGGCAGGAUGCCAUGGAAGAGGAGAUUGAAUUUUUGAAGAGGAAUCACACUAUAUGCUUGCUUUUAGAUCUGCCCAGAAAUCAAAAUGUGGUUGGAUAAUAGGUAUUCAAAAAAAAAAAAAAAGAAAAAAGAAAAAGGAAGGAAUAACUGUUAUGGAGAAGAAAAUAUUCAAGGGAAAUAGAUUCAACAGAGGACACUGAGAACCAAUCAAACAUGUAAAAAUGAAAAUUACAUGCUAGCUGAUAAAUUUGACUCCUGAAUUCAAGAAACUUUUCAAGAAAGAGAAAAAUUUGGGAAGAGAUCACAAGAUUGGUUAUUUAACAUUUUCCCUACUGUUUUUCACUUCCAAACCUUGUUUUUAAGCAAAAAGUGUCACUAUCAAAAACCAUUUAAGGUAUACGUUUACACACAUUCUAUCUGUCAUUUAUGUGAAAGGAAAAAAAAAAAAGUUUCUCUCCCUUUUAUUUUCUCCCAGCUGUGAGUUCUUGGUCUUAUGAUCCAAAACUCAUAAAUUCUAAUAACUUUAAUAUUAACAAAUGAAAGUGACCACACAGAUGCAUAAACUAAUUCAGUAAUGAAAGUCCUUAGAUUUCCUUGUUAGGAAGGAUUUAGUUAUGAUAAGUUACUUGUCUUGGAACAACAUCAGUCUUCCUUCAUUCUGAUUUUAAUGUACCUGCAACAUUCUCCAUGUCAAGAUUUAGUUCUGUUUUUCUUUUUUUUUUUUUUUUUUUUUUUUAUCUUUAUGACCGAUUUAAAAUAUGUCUAGAACAACAUUAGAUGAUUUGAAGUUCAUAACCACAUGAUCUCAACAAGGAUACUUACCAUGUUUGGUUCGUUCUCUGAUGCAAAAACCAAACAUGAAAGUCCCUCUUAAUUUUAGCAUGAAAUUCGUAUUCAAAGUACAAGAAAAAUGACAUGCACACACAGAGACACACAGAGAAACACCAAUGAUAAACAGAUAGAAAGAAGUUGAAAUGAACUUGCUAAAGCAUUAAAAAGAGUAGAUUUAUGCACACAUGGACACAGACACACACACAGAGAAACAUCAGUAACGAUCAGAAAGAAGGAAGUUGAAAUGAACCUGCUAAAGCAUUAAGAAGAGUAGAUUUAUGCACACACAGAGAAACACUAGUGAUGAUCAGAAAGAAGGAAGUUGAAAUGAAUCUGCUAAAGCGUUAAGAAGAGUAGAUUUAUGCACACACAUGGAUAUACAGACACACACAUACAGAAACACCAAUGAUGAACAGAUAGAAGGAAGUAGAGAUGAACCUG